UUGAGUCUCAAGCUAGGGAUCACCACUUCCUUUAGCAGAAGCUCCGAUAUGAAAUAGCAAUCGUUAUAGAUAGACUUUGAGAUGCUUGAAUAGCUGCAGCCUAGCCUUUUCGUUAACUGGAUCUCCUACCUCCACUGUUAAUAAGUGGCGGCAAUCUCAAGCUAGGGAUCACCACUUCCUUUAGCAGAAGCUCCGAUAUGAAAUAGCAAUCGUUAUUGAUAGACUUUGAGAUGCUUGAAUAGCUGAGCCUAGCCUUUUCGUUAACUGGAUCUCCUACCUCCACUGUUAAUAAGUGGCUGCAAGACUCGAAUCCUGGACCUCUGCCUGCUCUACUAUGGUGAAUUGUGUGAACCGUCUCAUCAAAAAAACUUAGAUUUCAGAGAGGGAACACUUUUAUUUAGUUAAUUAUGUAUUA
rnacentral:lncRNA from 1 species